GGUGGCUCAGUGGUAGAGCAUCUGCUUGGAAUGAUGAAAGUCCUAGGUUCAAUCUCUGGCAUCUCCA
rnacentral:tRNA from 1 species